UACGAAGGGGGCUAGCGUUGCUCGGAAUUACUGGGCGUAAAGGGCGCGUAGGCGGACAGUUUAGUCAGAGGUGAAAGCCCAGGGCUCAACCUUGGAAUUGCCUUUGAUACUGGCUGUCUUGAGUUCGGGAGAGGUGAGUGGAAUGCCGAGUGUAGAGGUGAAAUUCGUAGAUAUUCGGAGGAACACCAGUGGCGAAGGCGGCUCACUGGUCCAUUACUGACGCUGAGGUGCGAAAGCGUGGGGAGCAAACAGG
rnacentral:rRNA from 1 species